rnacentral:rRNA from 1 species
UACAGAGGGUGCGAGCGUUAAUCGGAAUUACUGGGCGUAAAGCGCGCGUAGGCGGCUUAUUAAGUCAGAUGUGAAAUCCCCGGGCUCAACCUGGGAACUGCAUCUGAUACUGGUAAGCUAGAGUUUUGGAGAGGGAAGUAGAAUUUCAGGUGUAGCGGUGAAAUGCAUAGAGAUCUGAAGGAAUACCAGUGGCGAAGGCGACUUCCUGGCCAAAAACUGACGCUGAGGUGCGAAAGCGUGGGUAGCAAACGGGAUUAGAAACCCCAGUAGUCC